rnacentral:rRNA from 1 species
UAGGGAAUUUUCCACAAUGGGCGAAAGCCUGAUGGAGCAACGCCGCGUGCAGGAGGAAGGCCUUCGGGUUGUAAACUGCUUUUAAGGGGGACGAUUAUGACGGUACCCCUAGAAUAAGGAUCGGCUAAUUCCGUGCCAGCAGCCGCGGUCAUACGGAAGAUCCAAGCGUUAUCCGGAAUUACUGGGCGUAAAGAGUUGCGUAGGUGGCAUAGUAAGCAAAUAGUGAAAUCGUGUGGCUCAACCACAUACCCAUUAUUUGAACUGCUAAGCUAGAGCAUGAGAGAGGUAGAUGGAAUUUCUAGUGUAGGAGUGAAAUCCGUAGAUAUUAGAAGGAACACCGAUGGCGUAGGCAGUCUACUGGCUCAUUGCUGACACUAAGGCACGAAAGCGUGGGGAGCGAACGGGAUUAGAUACCCCCGUAGUCC